UACCAGCACCCCGAGUGGUCGGGACGUUUUAUUGGGCCUAAAGCAUCCGUAGCCGGUUCUACAAGUCUUCCGUUAAAUCCACCUGCUUAACAGAUGGGCUGCGGAAGAUACUAUGGAGCUAGGAGGCGGGAGAGGCAAGCGGUACUCGAUGGGUAGGGGUAAAAUCCGUUGAUCCAUUGAAGACCACCAGUGGCGAAGGCGGCUUGCCAGAACGCGCUCGACAGUGAGGGAUGAAAGCUGGGGGGAGCAAACCGG
rnacentral:rRNA from 1 species